rnacentral:rRNA from 1 species
GAUGAACGCUGGCGGCGUGCUUAACACAUGCAAGUCGAACGAAGCACUUUAUUUGAUUUCCUUCGGGACUGAUUAUUUUGUGACUGAGUGGCGGACGGGUGAGUAACGCGUGGGUAACCUGCCUUGUACAGGGGGAUAACAGUUGGAAACGGCUGCUAAUACCGCAUAAGCGCACAGCAUCGCAUGAUGCAGUGUGAAAAACUCCGGUGGUAUAAGAUGGACCCGCGUUGGAUUAGCUAGUUGGUGAGGUAACGGCCCACCAAGGCGACGAUCCAUAGCCGACGGGGGAGGGGGCGGGGCAACAUGGGAACGGAGACACGACAGAAACUCGAGGGGGAGGAGGGAGGGGGGAAUAUAGAAAAAGGGGGGAAGGACGGAGGAAGAGCGGGGGGGGGAGAAAAGAAGUAUUUGGGUAUAAAAAGCUAAAACAGAAGGGAAAAAAAGGAGGGUACAUAACAAAGAAGACCCGGAAAAAUACGUG